UACGGAGGGGACUAGCGUUGUUCGGAAUUACUGGGCGUAAAGCGUACGUAGGCGGAUCAGAAAGUAUGGGGUGAAAUCCCAGGGCUCAACCCUGGAACUGCCUCAUAAACUCCUGGUCUUGAGUUCGAGAGAGGUGAGUGGAAUUCCGAGUGUAGAGGUGAAAUUCGUAGAUAUUCGGAGGAACACCAGUGGCGAAGGCGGCUCACUGGCUCGAUACUGACGCUGAGGUACGAAAGUGUGGGGAGCAAACAGGAUUAGAUACCCCCGUA
rnacentral:rRNA from 1 species